UUUAGAGUUUGGUUCUGGCUCAGGACGAACGCUGGCGGCGUGCCUAAUACAUGCAAGUCGAGCGGACAGAAGGGAGCUUGCUCCCGGAUGUUAGCGGCGGACGGGUGAGUAACACGUGGGUAACCUGCCUGUAAGACUGGGAUAACUCCGGGAAACCGGAGCUAAUACCGGAUAGUUCCUUGAACCGCAUGGUUCAAGGAUGAAAGACGGUUUCGGCUGUCACUUACAGAUGGACCCGCGGCGCAUUAGCUAGUUGGUGAGGUAACGGCUCACCAAGGCGACGAUGCGUAGCCGACCUGAGAGGGUGAUCGGCCACACUGGGACUGAGACACGGCCCAGACUCCUACGGGAGGCAGCAGUAGGGAAUCUUCCGCAAUGGACGAAAGUCUGACGGAGCAACGCCGCGUGAGUGAUGAAGGUUUUCGGAUCGUAAAGCUCUGUUGUUAGGGAAGAACAAGUGCAAGAGUAACUGCUUGCACCUUGACGGUACCUAACCAGAAAGCCACGGCUAACUACGUGCCAGCAGCCGCGGUAAUACGUAGGUGGCAAGCGUUGUCCGGAAUUAUUGGGCGUAAAGGGCUCGCAGGCGGUUUCUUAAGUCUGAUGUGAAAGCCCCCGGCUCAACCGGGGAGGGUCAUUGGAAACUGGGAAACUUGAGUGCAGAAGAGGAGAGUGGAAUUCCACGUGUAGCGGUGAAAUGCGUAGAGAUGUGGAGGAACACCAGUGGCGAAGGCGACUCUCUGGUCUGUAACUGACGCUGAGGAGCGAAAGCGUGGGGAGCGAACAGGAUUAGAUACCCUGGUAGUCCACGCCGUAAACGAUGAGUGCUAAGUGUUAGGGGGUUUCCGCCCCUUAGUGCUGCAGCUAACGCAUUAAGCAUUCCGCCUGGGGAGUACGGUCGCAAGACUGAAACUCAAAGGAAUUGACGGGGGCCCGCACAAGCGGUGGAGCAUGUGGUUUAAUUCGAAGCAACGCGAAGAACCUUACCAGGUCUUGACAUCCUCUGACAACCCUAGAGAUAGGGCUUUCCCUUCGGGGACAGAGUGACAGGUGGUGCAUGGUUGUCGUCAGCUCGUGUCGUGAGAUGUUGGGUUAAGUCCCGCAACGAGCGCAACCCUUGAUCUUAGUUGCCAGCAUUCAGUUGGGCACUCUAAGGUGACUGCCGGUGACAAACCGGAGGAAGGUGGGGAUGACGUCAAAUCAUCAUGCCCCUUAUGACCUGGGCUACACACGUGCUACAAUGGACAGAACAAAGGGCUGCAAGACCGCAAGGUUUAGCCAAUCCCACAAAUCUGUUCUCAGUUCGGAUCGCAGUCUGCAACUCGACUGCGUGAAGCUGGAAUCGCUAGUAAUCGCGGAUCAGCAUGCCGCGGUGAAUACGUUCCCGGGCCUUGUACACACCGCCCGUCACACCACGAGAGUUUGCAACACCCGAAGUCGGUGAGGUAACCUUUAUGGAGCCAGCCGCCGAAGGUGGGGCAGAUGAUUGGGGUGAAGUCGUACAAGGGUAACCGAAG
rnacentral:rRNA from 1 species